UACGUAGGGGGCUAGCGUUGUCCGGAAUCAUUGGGCGUAAAGCGCGUGUAGGCGGUCCGGUAAGUCCGCUGUGAAAGUCGGGGGCUCAACCCUCGGAUGCCGGUGGAUACUGUCGGGCUUGAGUACGGAAGAGGCGAGUGGAAUUCCCGAUGUAGCGGUGAAAUGCGCAGAUAUCAGGAGGAACACCGAUUGCGAAGGCAGCUCUCUGGGACGGUACUGACGCUGAGACGCGAAAGCGUGGGGAGCGAACAGG
rnacentral:rRNA from 1 species